ACCUCGGUGGUGUAAUGGUAGCACGCCUCCAUGGUAUGGAUGAAGCGCUGGUUCAACUCCCGUUUGAGGUC